GGCCAUGAUGGCUUAGUGUUUAGUGCGUUUGCCUCGCACCUACAGGGUUGUGGGUUCAAUUCCCACCAGGUUCU